rnacentral:rRNA from 1 species
UGAGUUUGAUUCUGGCUCAGGAUGAACGCUGGCGGCGUGCCUAACACAUGCAAGUUGAGCGUGAAGUUUAUAUUGAUUCUUCGGAUGAUUUAUAAAUGGAAAGCAGCGGACGGGUGAGUAACGCGUGGAUAACCAGCCCUAUACUCCAGGAUAACAUACCGAAAGGUAUGCUAAUACUGGAUAAUAUACAUUAGUCGCAUGGCUUUUGUAUCAAAGAUUACGGUAUAGGAUGGAUCCGCGUUCCAUUAGCUAGUUGGUGGGGUAAAGGCCUACCAAGGCGACGAUGGAUAGCCGACCUGAGAGGGUGAUCGGCCACACUGGAACUGAGACACGGUCCAGACUCCUACGGGAGGCAGCAGUGGGGAAUAUUGCACAAUGGGCGAAAGCCUGAUGCAGCAACGCCGCGUGAGCGAUGAAGGCCUUCGGGUCGUAAAGCUCUGUCCUAAAGGAAGAAUUUUGACGGUACUUUAGGAGGAAGCCCCGGCUAAUUACGUGCCAGCAGCCGCGGUAAUACGUAGGGGGCUAGCGUUAUCCGGAAUUACUGGGCGUAAAGGGUACGUAGGCGGUUUAUUAAGUCAGGGGUGAAAGGCUACGGCUCAACCGUAGUAAGCCUUUGAAACUGAUAAACUUGAGUAUG